rnacentral:rRNA from 1 species
AACGAACGCUGGCGGCAUGCCUAACACAUGCAAGUCGAACGAGACCUUCGGGGCUAGUGGCGCACGGGUGCGUAACGCGUGGGAACCUGCCCUUAGGUUCGGAAUAACUCCCCGAAAGGGGUGCUAAUACCGGAUAAUGUCGUCGGACCAAAGAUUUAUCGCCUUUGGAUGGGCCCGCGUUGGAUUAGCUAGUUGGUAGGGUAAAAGCCUACCAAGGCGACGAUCCAUAGCUGGUCUGAGAGGAUGAUCAGCCACACUGGGACUGAGACACGGCCCAGACUCCUACGGGAGGCAGCAGUGGGGAAUAUUGGACAAUGGGCGAAAGCCUGAUCCAGCAAUGCCGCGUGAGUGAUGAAGGCCUUAGGGUUGUAAAGCUCUUUUACCCGGGAUGAUAAUGACAGUACCGGGAGAAUAAGCUCCGGCUAACUCCGUG